GGAGCCCGCGGUCCACGCAUGUUGGGUCGGGGUGCUCAGAUGGCGGAGACACUGGCAAGUUUUGCCCUGGCAACGGCCGGCGGCGCUUAGUACAGCCUAACUUUCGGGUUGGUGGGAACGGUUGCUGUUGGUGCGGCUGGGGGAGAAUGUGAGCACCCUGUUGGGUCCUGAAGGAACAACCAUUGGUUGUUGUUUCAAAAACUUGGCCAGCCUCCCGUUGUGGGGGCUGGAAGUCUGCCAGGCAUGGCCUGGCCCCACAUACCGCUGGUCCCCUUGGGACUGGGUUUUGGUGUGGGGCGGAUCGGGUUGUGGGUUGGU
rnacentral:misc_RNA from 1 species